rnacentral:rRNA from 1 species
AUUUGAAAUCUGGCCCUUGGGUCCGAAUUGUAAUUUGUAGAGGAUGAUUUUGGUGCGGUAUCUUCCGAGUUCCUUGGAACAGGACGCCUUAGAGGGUGAGAGCCCCGUACGGUUGAAUGCCUAGCCUCUGUAAAUCUCCUUCGACGAGUCGAGUAGUUUGGGAAUGCUGCUCUAAAUGGGAGGUAAAUUUCUUCUAAAGCUAAAUAUUGGCCAGAGACCGAUAGCGCACAAGUAGAGUGAUCGAAAGAUGAAAAGCACUUUGAAAAGAGGGUUAAAUAGCACGUGAAAUUGUUGAAAGGGAAGGAUUUGUGACCAGACUUUUUCUGGGCGGAUCAUCCGGGGUUCUCUCCGGUGCACUUCGCCCAGUAAAGGCCAGCAUCGGUUUUCGGCGUGGGAUAAAAGCAGUAGGAAUGUGGCUCUCUACGGGGAGUGUUAUAGCCUAUUGUAUAAUACCGCGCUGGGGACCGAGGUUCGCGCUUCUGCAAGGAUGCUGGCGUAAUGGUUAUCAAUCACCCGUCUUGAAACACGGACCAAGGAGUCGAACAUUUGUGCGAGUGUUUGGGUGUUAAACCCUCACGCGUAAUGAAAGUGAACGGAGGUGAGAGCCCUUACGGGUGCAUCAUCGACCGAUCCUGAAGUUUUCGGAUGGAUUUGAGUAAGAGCAUAACUGUUCGGACCCGAAAGAUGGUGAACUAUGCGUGGAUAGGGUGAAGCCAGAGGAAACUCUGGUGGAGGCUCGCAGCGGUUCUGACGUGCAAAUCGAUCGU